UACGUAGGAGACGAGCGUUGUCCGGAGUUACUGGGCGUAAAGGGCGCGCAGGCGGCCGCCCGCGUGUGUGGUGAAAGCUCCUGGCUUAACUAGGAGAGGUCCAUGCAGACGGGGUGGCUUGAGCGUCGGAGAGGGGCAUGGAAUUCCGGGUGGAGCGGUGAAAUGCGUAGAGAUCCGGAGGAACACCAAUGGCGAGGGCAGUGCCCUGGCCGACGGCUGACGCUCAGGCGCGAAAGCGUGGGGAGCAAACAGG
rnacentral:rRNA from 1 species